CAUCCGUCAAAUGUCUUCACCCCUCCUCCCUUCUCCGCUGUAGCUACGUUUACAACGUUCUGACUUCCUCUUCCAGGAGACUUUGGCCUAGUCUCAACACCUGACGUGGACUACAUAACCCAGCAUUCAUCACGGCAAGUGGAUUUCCGGGUCAAGAGGUCCGCGCUGGGUACAUCACCAUGGAAGCAAUCGGUUUGGUCACGUGGUGCCCUUGGUUACGCCCGGUGGCAGCUGUGGGGUCUAGGGCUCAGACGGGGGCCAUUUUGCCAGAGGCUGCCUCCCGGAGUUGGGGGCGGCCUGGCGGCAGGCUGAAGCUGUUCUUUUGCCUCUUCUGCAGCUUGGGGCUUGGAGAGGAUCUGGAAGUCUGGGCUCCAUCGAGCCCUUUGGAGACAGCAAUGGUUUCUUCCAACCACCACCACCUGACAACCCUGCAUGGCGGCUGCCCCCUCCGCGCUGCUUCUGCUGCCGCCCUUUCCAGUCCUCUCUACCUAUCGGCUCCAGAGCCGCAGUCGUCCUUCCGCCCCAGAGACUGAUGAUAGUCGAGUUGGGGGCAUUAUGAGAGGAGAGAAAAACUACUACUUCCGUGGAGCUGCGGGGGACCACGGUUCCUGCCCCACUACAACUUCGCCUCUGGCCUCGGCCCUCUUGAUGCCCUCGGAGGCAGUCUCAAGCAGCUGGUCUGAGUCUGGAGGCGGUUUGUCAGGGGGAGAUGAAGAGGACACUCGGCUCCUUCAACUCCUCCGCACUGCCCCGGAUCCUUCUGAGGCCUUUCAGGCUUUGCAAGCUGCUUUGCCGCGGCGGGGCGGUCGACUUGGCUUCCCCCGACGCAAGGAAGCUUUGUAUCGGGCACUGGGCCGAGUGCUUGUGGAAGGAGGUAGUGAUGAGAAGCGGCUUUGCUUGCAACUUCUCUCGGACGUUCUCCGGGGUCAGGGGGAGGCAGGCCAGCUUGAAGAGGCCUUUAGCUUAGCACUUUUGCCUCAACUAGUUGUCUCGUUACGGGAAGAGAAUCCAGCCCUGCGGAAAGAUGCGCUGCAGAUCCUUCAUAUAUGUCUGAAACGUAGUUCUGGAGAGGUGCUGAGAACGCUUAUACAACAAGGACUGGAAAGUACCGAUGCCCGACUUAGAGCUUCCACAGCACUACUGCUUCCCAUCUUGCUUACUACUGAGGACUUGUUGCUUGGUCUGGAUCUCACCGAGGUGAUAAUAUCCCUAGCCCGAAAGCUUGGUGAUCAGGAGACAGAAGAAGAAUCUGAGACAGCUUUCUCCGCACUUCAACAAAUUGGGGAGCGACUUGGCCAAGACAGGUUUCAAUCUUAUAUUUCUCGUCUGCCCUCUGCCCUGAGGAGACACUACAAUCACCGCCUGGAGUCCCAGUUUGGAAGUCAGGUUCCUUAUUAUUUGGAACUUGAAGCCUCUGGAUUUCCUGAAGAUCCCCUUCCCUGUGCAGUGACUCUUUCCAACAGCAAUCUUAAAUUUGGGAUUAUUCCUCAGGAGCUGCAUUCACGAUUAUUGGAUCAGGAAGACUAUAAGAACCGGACCCAGGCCGUCGAAGAACUAAAGCAGGUGCUGGGAAAAUUUAACCCUAGUUCUACUCCUCAUUCUAGUCUUGUUGGCUUCAUUAGUUUGCUGUAUAAUUUGUUAGACGAUUCUAACUUCAAAGUGGUGCAUGGCACACUUCAAGUCCUGCAUUUACUGGUUAUUCGCCUUGGAGAGCAGGUACAGCAGUUCUUGGGACCAGUUAUAGCAGCUUCUGUCAAAGUGCUGGCGGACAACAAGUUGGUGAUCAAACAAGAAUACAUGAAAAUCUUCCUCAAGCUAAUGAAGGAAGUAGGACCUCAGCAGGUGCUUUGUUUACUCCUGGAACAUCUCAAACAUAAGCAUUCCAGAGUGAGAGAGGAGGUGGUGAACAUUUGCAUCUGCUCCCUGCUGACCUAUCCUAGUGAGGAUUUUGACUUGCCCAAACUGUCCUUUGAUCUUGCCCCAGCUCUUGUAGAUAGCAAACGCAGGGUACGCCAAGCAGCUUUAGAAGCUUUUGCCGUAUUGGCAUCAUCAAUGGGCUCAGGUAAAACCAGCAUCCUUUUUAAAGCUGUGGAUACAGUUGAACUGCAAGAUAAUGGAGAUGGAGUGAUGAAUGCUGUGCAGGCCAGAUUGGCUAGGAAAACCUUACCAAGGCUCACAGAGCAGGGAUUUGUGGAAUAUGCAGUACUGAUGCCAUCUUCUGCCGGGGGUAGGUCAAACCAUUUGGCACAUGGAGCAGAUACGGAUUGGCUUUUGGCUGGUAACAGAACUCAGAGUGCACACUGUCACUGUGGUGACCACGUGAGGGAUAGCAUGCACAUUUAUGGAUCUUACAGCCCAACUAUCUGUACCCGAAGGGUAUUAAGUGCAGGAAAAGGAAAAAAUAAAUUACCAUGGGAAAAUGAGCAACCUGGAAUCAUGGGAGAAAACCAGACCUCCACUUCCAAGGAUAUAGAGCAGUUUUCAACAUAUGAUUUCAUCCCAUCUGCAAAAUUAAAGCCUUCUCAAGGAAUGCCAGUCAAUGAUGAUUUAUGUUUUAGCAGAAAAAGAGUAUCAAGAAACUUAUUUCAGAAUAGUCGGGAUUUUAACCCAGAUUGUCUUCCUUUAUGUGCUGCUGGUACUACUGAGACUCAUCAAACAAAUCUUUCUGGGAAAUGUGCACAACUUGGAUUUUCACAAAUAUGUGGUAAAACUGGCAGUGUGGGUUCUGACUUACAAUUCCUAGGGACAACUAGCAGUCAUCAAGAUAAAGUGUAUGCUAGCCUCAAUUUUGGCAGUAAGACACAGCAAACAUUUGGUAGUCAAACAGAGUGUACUUCCUCAAAUGGUCAAAAUCUAAGUCCAGGAGCUUACAUCCUUCCAUCCUAUCCUGUCUCAUCACCUCGAACUAGUCCAAAGCAUACAUCUCCUCUUAUUAUAUCUCCAAAGAAGUCUCAAGAUAAUUCUGUUAAUUUCUCAAAUUCCUGGCCUCUUAAAAGCUUCGAAGGACUAUCAAAGCCAAGUCCACAGAAGAAGCUUGUCAGCCAAAAAUCGUCUGAUCCUACGGGUAGAAAUCAUGGAGAAAAUUCUCAAGAAAAACCUCCAGUUCAGCUUACACCUGCCUUGGUGAGAUCGCCAUCUUCCCGACGAGGUCUAAAUGGGACAAAGCCUGUUCCUCCCAUACCAAGGGGAAUAAGCCUUUUGCCUGAUAAAGCUGAUUUAAGCACAGUGGGACACAAAAAGAAAGAGCCUGAUGAUAUUUGGAAGUGUGAAAAAGAUAGUCUUCCAAUUGAUCUUUCAGAAUUAAAUUUCAAGGAUAAAGAUUUGGAUCAAGAAGAGAUGCAUAGCUCUCUUAGGUCCCUUCGUAAUAGUGCAGCUAAGAAAAGAGCAAAACUGAGUGGCAGUACUUCAGAUCUUGAAAGCCCUGAUUCUGCAAUGAAGCUCGACUUGACGAUGGACUCCCCGUCUCUGUCUUCCUCACCAAACAUCAGUUCUUACAGUGAAAGUGGAGUUUACAGCCAAGAAUCAUUGACUUCUUCUCUGUCUACAACUCCCCAGGGGAAGAGAAUAAUGUCAGACAUAUUUCCAACAUUUGGGUCAAAACCUUGUCCAACAAGACUUUCUUCUGCAAAGAAAAAAAUUUCUCAUAUUGCUGAACAAAGCCCCAGUGCAGGGUCAUCAUCAAAUCCACAGCAAAUUUCCAGUUUUGACUUCACAACCACAAAAAAGGCUUUAUCAGAAGACUCAGUAGUAGUUGUUGGAAAAGGCGUAUUUGGAAGUUUAAGUUCAGCACCAGCAACCUGCAGCCAAUCAGUGAUAUCUUCUGUGGAAAAUGGGGAUACAUUUUCAAUUAAACAAAGUAUUGAACCACCAUCAGGGAUUUAUGGAAGAUCAGUCCAGCAAAAUAUUUCAUCAUAUCUUGAUGUUGAGAAUGAAAAAGAUGCUAAAGUUUCUAUUUCUAAAUCUACUUAUAACAAGAUGAGACAAAAGAGAAAAGAAGAGAAAGAACUGUUUCACAAUAAAGAUUGUGAAAAGAAGGAAAAAAAUUCCUGGGAACGAAUGAGACAUACAGGAACUGAGAAAAUGGCAUCUGAAAGUGAAACACCUACUGGAGCUAUUUCACAGUAUAAAGAAAAGAUGCCUUCUGUCACUCAUAGUCCAGAAAUAAUGGAUCUGUCAGAACUACGGCCAUUCUCUAAACCAGAAAUAGCACUGACAGAAGCCCUGAGGCUUUUGGCUGAUGAGGAUUGGGAGAAGAAAAUUGAGGGACUGAAUUUUAUUAGAUGCUUAGCUGCUUUUCAUUCUGAGAUACUGAACACAAAGUUGCAUGAAACAAAUUUUGCAGUUGUUCAAGAGGUGAAAAAUUUACGUUCUGGAGUUUCUCGUGCUGCUGUGGUCUGUUUAAGUGAUCUUUUCACUUAUUUGAAAAAGAGCAUGGAUCAAGAGCUAGAUACCACAGUAAAAGUUUUGUUGCACAAGGCUGGUGAAUCAAAUACAUUUAUAAGAGAAGAUGUUGACAAAGCAUUGAGAGCUAUGGUUAAUAAUGUAACUCCUGCACGUGCAGUUGUUUCUCUUAUCAAUGGUGGACAAAGCCAUUUACACAUUGCUGUAAGAAGGUGUACAGCCCAGCAUUUAUCAGAUGUAUUGGAAUUUAUGGAACCAGAACGUAUUUUAUCUGCAGCAAAGGAUAUGGCUGAACGCAUAUUACCAGCUGCUGCUAAGUUUGCUCAAGACAGUUCACAAGAAACCAGAUGACACUACAUACUUCUGGGUAGUGAGAUGCCAAGUCACAGGGAUGAACUUCAUGAAAACGGCACAAGACUGUGUGAGUGGGCAGAAAAGUGGCAGAAGAACUUCAUUAUGGGCAAAUGUAAGGUAUUAUGGUCGAAAGAUGCUGUUCUUCAUGAUGUGUCAUCCUAACUUUGAAAAAAUGCUUGAAAAGUAUGUCCCAUCUAAAGAUUUGCCAUAUAUUAAGGACUCUGUUAGAAACUUACAGCAAAAGGGUUUGGGGGAGAUACCAUUAGAUACUCCUUCAGCAAAAGGAAGACGAUCUCAUACUGGCAGUGUUGGAAAUACAAGAUCAUCAUCUGUUUCUAGAGAUGCUUUCAAUUCAGCUGAAAGAGCUGUAACUGAAGUUCGUGAAGUCACCAGAAAAUCAGUCCCUCAUAAUUCCUUAGAAAGUGCUGAGUACCUUAAACUCAUAACUGGCUUAUUAAAUGCAAAAGACUUUCGUGAUCGUAUUAAUGGGAUUAAGCAGCUUUUAUCAGAUACAGAAAAUAAUCAAGACCUUGUUGUUGGAAACAUUGUGAAGAUUUUUGAUGCUUUUAAAUCUCGACUUCAUGAUUCUAAUAGUAAAGUAAAUCUGGUGGCUCUGGAAACAAUGCACAAAAUGAUUCCUCUACUUAGAGACCACUUAUCUCCUAUAAUCAACAUGCUAAUUCCAGCAAUAGUGGAUAACAAUCUGAAUUCCAAGAAUCCAGGCAUCUAUGCGGCUGCUACAAAUGUUGUUCAGGCACUGAGUCAGCAUGUAGACAAUUACUUACUUCUACAGCCAUUUUGCACAAAAGCUCAGUUUUUAAAUGGAAAAGCAAAACAGGAUAUGACGGAAAAGCUUGCUGAUAUUGUUAUGGAACUUUAUCAAAGGAAGCCGCAUGCCACAGAGCAGAAAGUGUUGGUUGUUUUAUGGCAUCUCUUAGGAAAUAUGACAAAUAGUGGCUCUCUGCCUGGAGCUGGAGGAAAUAUACGAACAGCCACAGCUAAAUUAUCAAAAGCACUCUUUGCACAGAUGGGUCAGAAUCUGUUAAAUCAGGCUGCAUCUCAACCACCACAUAUCAAAAAGAGUUUGGAGGAAUUACUCGAUAUGACAAUUUUAAAUGAAUUAUGAAUCUUUCAUAAAAUACUGUAUGAUGAACAAAAGUGUUUACAUGAUGACAAAUGGAACUUUCUAAAAGUUACGUUAUCAGUGCCUGCACUUCACAUCCAGCAAAUUAAGUCAAUGGCUAUUUUUAUUUGCAGCCUAUGAGUACACAUCUGUCCUAUAUCAACCUUACCACUUAUAUUCAUCACAUAAAAACCUAAAAUAUUCAUGAAUAAUUCAUGAAAUCUGAGUCACAUGGGAUGAAUUCAAUUUUAAUAUUUUUGAGAAAAGUCCUGCUCAUUUGCACUAUUCUAUAGAAACUACAAUUUGUUGCCCUAUAUGUACAAUUAGAAUUGUAAUUAAAAAUACACAUUUUAUUAUGUAAUCAUGUUCUGGUAUGUCUCAUUUCUCAGCCUUAUUUUAUAACGUGGAAGUCAUUGAACUAUGUUAUCAGAAACUAAGUUUGUAUAUUAUUUGUGAAAAACAUGUAUUUCUGAAUCAGUCCACUAAUAUGAUUGUGCAGUAUUAGCUUGCUUUUGCUGCUGUGUUAAUGUCAUAUAUUUGCUUACCUUUUGGGUUCAAUUAUCUACAUAAUUGUGAAAUUUAACAAGUUAUAAUAAAGCAUGACAACCAAAGUUUUAGAAAACAUUAAACAUUUUAAAUGCACGUUUAAAAAACGUGUUGAAUGUAACCCCCCUAUUUUUGUGUGCAAACACUAAAUUUUAUUUCUUUAUGUUUUGACCUUUAUAAAGGUGUUAUUCUGCUGCCCAGUUUUGUAAUUCUCAAAAAUAGUGCCAGGUCUUCUAUAGCUUUUUUCAGAAUUCAUGGGCUUACAAGUACUGUAUGCAUCUUUAAAAAGAAAAGGAAUGUUAUAAAAUAAAAGGAUUUAUUUCUUUA